rnacentral:sRNA from 1 species
AAGGAGCCCCCUGACCCCUUCCUUAAAACAGAUCCUUUUGUCUUUGUCUUCAUUUCUGCGUUUAUCCUCCUUCGUUCAGUCUCAAACCAACAGCCACAAGUGGUGCCCGAUCAGGGACAUGAAGGAAGAAGGUCUGCUGGAGCAGAGAAACUGAAACUGACCAGACGAACGAGAAACCCCGGGACAAAUCUGCUGGCAGAGGAUAUAAGGGUGCGCAGGUCCCAAACCAGCCCUCAUCUCCUGGUUGGAACGAAACACCGAUGACUGGGAACCGGCUGCUCUAGAUCCGCAGGAGUACCCGAGAGGGCUAACAGUCCGGAGAAAAAGCAGAACCAGAAAGAAGAAUGGGGAGAAGGAAGUAUUUCCGCCUAAGGAGGCACCCCGAAAGGGGAAGCGAGGCCGGAGGCCCAGCAAACCCCGACUGAUUCCCAGGCAGACGUCUGGGGGCCCCAUCUGCCCUGACUGCGGCUGUACCUUCCCUGAUCAUCAGGCCCUGGAGAGCCACAAGUGCGCCCAAAAUCUAAAAAAGCCUUACCCUUGCCCAGACUGUGGGCGCCGCUUUUCCUAUCCAUCCCUGCUGGUCAGUCACCGGCGGGCACACUCCGGCGAGUGCCCCUAUGUUUGUGACCAGUGUGGCAAACGUUUCUCCCAGCGUAAGAACCUCUCCCAGCACCAGGUUAUCCAUACAGGUGAGAAGCCCUACCACUGCCCUGACUGUGGUCGCUGCUUCCGGAGGAGCCGGUCCUUGGCCAAUCACCGGACCACACACACAGGCGAAAAACCCCACCAGUGCCCUAGCUGCGGACGUCGCUUCGCCUACCCCUCCCUGCUAGCCAUCCACCAGCGUACACACACGGGAGAGAAGCCCUACACCUGCCUCGAGUGCAACCGCCGCUUCCGCCAGCGCACGGCCCUCGUCAUCCACCAGCGCAUCCACACGGGCGAGAAGCCCUACCCGUGCCCGGACUGCGAGCGGCGCUUCUCCUCCUCCUCUCGCCUGGUCAGUCACCGGCGUGUGCACUCCGGGGAGCGUCCCUAUGCCUGCGAGCACUGUGAGGCCCGCUUCUCCCAGCGCAGCACGCUGCUCCAGCACCAGCUCUUGCACACCGGAGAGAAGCCCUACCCCUGCCCAGACUGUGGGCGUGCCUUCCGG